UACAGAGGAGCCAAGCGUUGUCCGGAUUGACUGGGCGUAAAGCGCGUGUAGGCGGCUCUGCAAGUCGGAUGUGAAAUCCCACGGCUCAACCAUGGAAGUGCAUUCGAAACUGCAGGGCUAGAGUCCUGGAGAGGAAGGUGGAAUGCUUGGUGUAGAGGUGAAAUUCGUAGAUAUCAAGCGGAACACCGGUGGCGAAGGCGGCCUUCUGGACAGUGACUGACGCUGAGACGCGAAAGCGUGGGGAGCAAACAGG
rnacentral:rRNA from 1 species